UGGUUCUGGCAUCGAUGAAGAACGCAGCGAAAUGCGAUAAGUAAUGUGAAUUGCAGAAUUCAGUGAAUCAUCGAAUCUUUGAACGCACAUUGCGCCCGCCAGUAUUCUGGCGGGCAUGCCUGUUCGAGCGUCAUUUCAACCCUCGAGCCCCCAAUUGCGGGGGCUUGGUGUUGGGGAUCGGCCCCCCGUCUCCGGGAGGCCGGCCCCGAAUUUCAGUGGCGGUCCCGCCGCAGCGUCUCUUGCGUAGUAGUAAACAACCUCGCACUGGAACGCGGCGCGGCCACGCCGUAAACUAAAUUAUUUUUUUUCUGAAUGUUGACCUCGGAUCAGGUAGGAAUACCCGCUGA
rnacentral:misc_RNA from 1 species